AUUGAACGCUGGCGGCAUGCCUAACACAUGCAAGUCGAACGGCAGCGCGGGUAGCUUGCUACCUGGCGGCGAGUGGCGGACGGGUGAGUAAUAUGUAGGAAUCUACCUAGAGGAGCGGGAUAACUUGGGGAAACUUAAGCUAAUACCACAUAAUCCCCACGGGGGAAAGCAGGGGACCUUCGGGCCUUGCGCCUUAUGAUGAGCCUACAUCGGAUUAGCUUGUUGGUGGGGUAAAGGCCUACCAAGGCGACGAUCCGUAGCUGGUCUGAGAGGAUGAUCAGCCACACUGGAACUGGGACACGGUCCAGGCUCCUACGGGAGGCAGCGGUGGGGAAUAUUGGACAAUGGGGGGAACCCUGAUCCAGCAAUGCCGCGUGUGUGAAGAAGGCCUUAGGGUUGUAAAGCACUUUCAGUGGAGAGGAAGUUGCGUGUGCUAAUAUCAUACGUAAUUGACGUUACCCACAGAAGAAGCACCGGCUAACUCUGUGCCAGCCGCCGCAGUAA
rnacentral:rRNA from 1 species